rnacentral:rRNA from 1 species
ACGGCGGGNGGACGGCCCACCGUGGCGACGAUGCGUAGGGGUUCUGAGAGGAAGGUCCCCCACACUGGUACUGAGACACGGACCAGACUCCUACGGGAGGCAGCAG